rnacentral:lncRNA from 1 species
UUCAGGUAAGGUCAGAUCAUCUUAUUGAAUAGAUAUCUGAAAGAAAGCAAAGGAAUGAAUCGUUUUUCCAAUUACCUUCUCUCGAAAACCAUAGAUCUUCUGGUUACCAUUGACUAUCCGGCACUUUCAUCUGUAGAGCGAAGCAAGAAAUUGCAUGGAAGGGCUUUUAUGCUAAUAUCAGCCUUGUUUGGAACAAUAGAUGCAAUCCAUUUCAGUGUAUGUCACUGAGUUCACCAUUGCAGUUGAGACGUCAGGCAAUUGAGCGUUCCCUAGAGUUUGGUUCAAAGGCUAAGGACUCCCCGCCGCCUUCAUAAGGGCACUAAGGCGGAGCACGGAAAAGCAAAUUGGGCACCCAUGUUUUACCAGUCCCGGAUCUCAGGGCCGUUUUGCCAACCGCCGACAUGAACGAAAUCGAAUUUCAUUGCGGGAAACUAGGAUUUCAUGAGGGAGGAAAAGGGGGUGGAGAGUCGUACAAUGCAUUGGUGGGAUGAAGGUGCUAGCUUGGCUGAGAUAGGAAGUUUCGAUGUGUAUGUAGAUUUGGUUCUAGUGCCCCCACCCUUUUCUAGAUCUGUCAGGAUUAGCAAGAUGUUCUGGUGUAAACUAUAGAGAAAUGGAAUGAAUGAAAUGUAUCUAAGAAGAAAGGAAGCCAUGCUCCAUCCUAUUUCUAAAAAGAACAUCACCUCCCUUUUUGGUUAGAUACCGCUCCGUUAGGUACUAAUGCUUCUACCUAUCACCCGGAGGGUGAGUUUGAGAGCUGUGUUUUUUUCCAACGUUAAUAGCAUUCCGCGAGAAAAGUCAUCUACUGAUGUUGUCAGCGGAGUCCCUCGUCCAUCCAUGUAUGAAUAGUGGUAUCCCCCAUUUUGGACAGUGAUGAGGUAGUCGACGCAAUUUGCAUGUGUAUUUGCGUUCGGCUUUGCUACUUUCCUUCUAGAAAAGAAUGUCCGCGGAAGGGAAUAGUCUACGUGGCCCGGGGUAGUCUUUCAAUUCCUUUAUCGGGUGGGAGAGUUUAGAACCAGUUAAGCCAAUAGCUGCUGCUUUAGUCACACUAGCUACAUCAGUUGAUCAUGGAUUUAGCAUACCACCUCAGAAUAGUCUACGUGGCCCCUUGUUUUUACUACAAUUUGAUAUACUGAAUCCAGUAAUGCAGAUAGCCCUUUUUAAAGCGCUUUUAAAGCCCCUGACUCUCAAAAAGAGCUGGAAGUUUUGCCUCAACUCAUUCCAUGAAUGUUGUUUCAUUCCCCACGCGACUGAAUCCAACUCAGUCUUUAUCCUGCCUUGGAGUUCUCUCUCAUAACUGAAGCCAGGAGGUAUUCGAUUUAUCGGAUUUCGAGCUAGCUGCCCUUUUCUUGCUCCUUGCCAUUAGCGCAGCCCUUUUCUUUUUCUUAGCUAGCGUAGUUUUUCACCUUCAAAAGAAGGCGCCAGCGCUUUUGUAGUGACCCCGGAGGGGUCCCGGGUUGCUUUGGCGCGCCCCACCCCGUCAGUCCUAUGUUGUACUUGACUUGACUCUCCCCCGCUUGCUGCUUGCUGAUCGCAGUGUUCAAAAAUGACACGAAGCUAGAUAUGAGUAGAUGUUGUUGGUCGAAAACGUCUUUCAUUCACAAUGAAACAGAAUGGUCUCGCUUGAUGCGUCAUUUUAGAAUGUGUAUUUUCAUAUUAAGAGUUCUUAAAAGUUCUCAACUCAAAGCCCAACCAUCAAAAGGAUGCUACAAUGUUCGAAAUUAUCAACUUAACAUGCCCCCUUACUUCCUUCGUGACCUCCCACUACUUCAUCUACCGAAAUGAUUAGGCAGAUCUCGUUUUUUCUAGCAUUAAACCUGCUCAUGAUCCUUUAUAGAGCAUGGAGCAGACAGAGAGAUGAAAGGACCACCUUCUCCUGCUUGCUUGAUCGGAAUCUAUUCACAUUUAGAAUAGCGGAAGUGCUACUUAACUUCACUUAGUAGUUGAAACUCGGAGAGACAGAGAGAGUCCUCUCUCAUACUUGCCAAUUCCAAGGCUGAUCAGCAAGGGAAUUGGCAGGAACCAACCUUAUUUGCCCCUUGGUAGAGUGAGUCUACUUAGCGAACUGGCAGGAUGCGGAGAUCGAUUGAUCAAUAAUAUCGAGAGUUGAUGGUUGACCGCCGCCCCCCUUGUCCUGCCCCGGCCGGGGAGGCAAAGGGGAUUGCUAUCGUCACCCUUUCUCCCGGUGUAUGUGAAAGAGAAAAAGUGACGCACUUUUUGGAUUUUCGGUCUGCGGUUGGUUGGGCCAAAGAACGAGAGUCAGCUUCCUUAAGUCCGUUCUUCCUCAGUAGCUCAGUGGUAGAGCGGUCGGCUGUUAACUGACUGGUCGUAGGUUCGAAUCCUACUUGGGGAGAUUUGAUUCAUUCAGAAUUCGAAUUGAUAGUUAUAGCUUUUCUGACUAGCGACCCCUGUCCUUCUCCUUUUUUUUCUAAAGACGCAGCAGAAUCGUCAAACGGGACAUCAAAAGUGGGAAGUUGAUUGUAGGAUUUCUAUUCCUCACUCUCGUAUAGGUGAACUUGGUUCGUUCAAUGAAAAGGGAUAAGAAGGAUCCACUGGGAAUGAAUGGGAAGACUGGGGUAGUAUCUUCAUUAGCCGGAAGGAAUUAGUCUCCACUAGCGUAAUUCGAAGAACGAACAAGAAAAGGCGUCUUUAGGUAGGAGGAUGGAUAGAUGUGGUCCAAUGGCUAAAGCUCUGCCAGCUUCUUGUAGACUGGCAGUCUCCGAGAGGAACCUUAACCCCCCGGGUUAGGCCGGGUGGGAUGGUAUACUUUUUUUUCGCCACAAGUGGGAACUCAGUCCUUGGUAAGACACAAGGGGGGAAGGAAGAUCUUCACUCAUUCAUUAAGUAAGUGCCUACGGUGAGACCCACAACAAACGAAGGGGGUGGAGGGAGACCGAAGAAGGAACAAUUGUCUUGAAUGCUACGCUGGGAUCAGCAGCUUCCAGUGUUUUCAAAAUAAGUCGGGCAGGAAGAGGAAGAUCGGGCGGGGAAAACGGGGUUCGAACCCGCGACUUCUGGCAUGACAGACCAGCACUCUAACCAACUGAGCUAUUUCCCCCUUUCGUAACUACUGUCGAUUCAACAGUCACCUACCGGUUACCUUUGUAACUAUACCAAAGUAGAUGUACAACAGAAUGCCCUUCGCCUUUAGUACUUUUCUUUUUCUUUUGACGACAGUAGAAAGAAAUGGCUCUGCUCGCUUAGAGAAGGGGCUCCGCGCUCUAUCAGCUAUCAGUUAGUUGGCGCUACACGCGACUUCAGUUGACAAAAGCAAACAAGAUAGCGCUAGCGCCCGCAGAGAACUUUCGUUUGUUCGCCUUCUAAAAGGCCUACUGACCUGCCGGUGAAAAGCCGGUUACAAAACAAAUAAUAAGACGUAGUGAAAAAGUACCAAAACAACUGAAGCCUACAUCCCACUACGUCUGGGUUGCCCCUUCCUAUGAACCUUGAGUCAAUAGAUAGGGUCAACUAUACCAAAGUGGAAGGGCCACUAUCUAAGCUAUUAGUGGGCUGGUUUGAACUAUUGAUUUACUGAAUCGAGUGAAGCUGUGUUGCGUAACAUAUAGGUCGCCAAGGCCUAGAAGUACAAGUGGUCGCCCUAACGGUCACUCUCAAACUCACUACUUGAGUGACGAAAGUCACUUAGCUUCUUUAAUAGGGCUUGCCAAAGAACCCCUCCGGGGCCCCGGGAAGAGGAAGAAGGAGAUAGAGCAAAGGUCUCCUCUUUCUGUCCGCUCUUCCCGGCAUGUAGAGAUCCGAUUGGGCUUAUAGUUUAAUUGGUUGAAACGUACCGCUCAUAACGGUGAUAUUGUAGGUUCGAGCCCUACUAAGCCCAUCUGACCUGCUUAAUCAAUGACUCCGGUAGUCACCUGAACCACUCUCUCGGAUAGCCCACAGCCUCUCUUCUGGAUGCGAAAGAAGAUUCGAUCAACGUACAAGGUUUGCCUUCUUGUGAGAAGGAGGGUUCUGAAUUGUGUUCUCAGUGCAAAGGGAGUCUUUGAGAAGGUUCCGUUUUUCUGAAGAGAGAGAAGAUCAGUAGAGCAGUCCGGCAGCUAUUCGGGGGUCAGCUUUGGGAUUUGCCUGAUCGACCCCUACCAGUGUAUUAAUCUACAAAAAUGAAGACUGACAUUCGUCAAUUUACCGGAUCUAUCCUCUUCUACUAACUUUACAAAAUGGAAGGGAAAAUGUGAAGACCAAAGAUGUCAACUACUAAGCAUAGUCAAUUGCAAAUCGGCCGGUUGGUUUGCUUCUCUCCAAGUAUGGGAGAUUUUCCAAUCUUCGAAAUACGCUCGUACUUUCUUGAUCUUAUGAAGAAGGGGCUUUCCUUAGCUGCGGACUUUGGGAUCUUGAGAGUAGACCAUGUCUUACGUUAGGGAAUCCGAAUCAAUCCAAAUCCUCUGACACUCCUUUUCAGCUGCUAUUUGAAUACAUGUUCAGAUGCAAAAGAGCUCGACUUCGAGUAUGGUCUUGUUCUUAACUGCUUGAGAGAACGCAUAUAUCCCCUUUUUCUUGCUAAACCUCCACAAGCCUUCCCAUGCUCGCUAAUUGAACCGUCCGUCUUCAUCUUAAUCCAUUCGUUUCCCGGUGGUCAACACACAAUAGAAUAUGUUUGUUUUUGAUCGGAUUGAGACAAAAGUACCAUUUUUUAGGAUGUUCGCCGAUUCUUCCUCUUCUUUCUCUCAUAAAACUUGAGAUACUAGCUUCUAAUCUGCAUAUUUUUGCAAAUCCUUUUCCAUUUGGAUUUUUGAAAACAUUAACUUACCUCUAGAAUUCCACUAUAUAUAACAUUGACGUUCCGCCAAAAUGUGCCAGAGCGAGUGAAAGGCAAGCCUACCCACGAUGUUCACUUGCCAUCCCCAACAAAUCUGCUAGCAUCCCAUUCGAGUUCCGCUUGGAAACAAGAAGCUCUUCUUUAUUUGUGUUUUUUUGCCCAAGAUAAGCCCAUUUUCCAGAGCCAAGCCUAUUAUAAGAGUUCAACUGCCAUAUUCGGAUGGAGUCCAAAUGCUUGCAUCUUGGGCUGAAGAAUGACCCAAUUCCUUAGCUUCCAUGCAUUAAUCAUAUCCGGGGAUGUGGGAAUAGGGAGAUGCCAUCCAUCUACACGACACGAUAGCUUAAGCAAAGCAUAGAGAGAGCUAAGCUAGAAUACAAACACAAAAGAUAUAGCACUAGCGUAGGCCUACCAUAGAAAAGUCUAAAAAAACCUUUUCUUUGUCUGUCAGCGGGAGAGAAAGCAAGCUUACGGUGCUUUGGAUGUUAAUGUUUUUGUAGGAUACUAAACACCUAUAUAUAUAUAUAUAUAUACAUUGUUUUAUACUCCUCUGUACAAGCGUAUAAGAGCUAUUAUGCUCGAUAAAAGGCAGUUUAUGAAUAAGUAAGUCUUUCUUUUUUGAAUAGCCGGCGGGAGAACUUACUUUUCCGGCUAUCGUAUGAACAAUGUCGUCCGCUUUUCUUUUUUGAGUUUCCAUGGAUCUCUCCGACGAAGUAGCGGAAGCAUGAAAUGCUAUUCACGAAUGAGCAUUGCUAUCUGAUUCCUACAAAAGAGAUAGGGGAAGCUCACUUUUGUCAAAUGGGGCUAGAAAGCAUAGAACCCCGUCUUAAAUCAACCGGUGAAUCCAUAAUCAAAGUGAGGAGAACAGGAUAUGUUAUGAGAAGAGUGACGUGGGAAUAGAUUGCAUUUCAAAAAGAAUCUAUACACUCAAUAAGCCAGAACGGGAAGAUUCAACUGCAAAAAGAACUGGUACGGUGUGAGAAGAGGCCUAUUCUCAAUAAUGAACAAGAUGAUGCAGCUCUAGUUGCUGGAGGCAGAGGACGUGGACGCGGCAGGAAUAGAUCCAGGGGGAGGACGCGAGUAAAAAAGGCUAUGAGGAUCAUAAAAAUUGAGGUGGAGGGAGAUUGUAUAACUAAGGAUCGAGUAGAGGAAGACGUCAGUCUUUCAGUUGUAGAUGAUCAUUACCGAAAAAGAUGUACAUUCGAAUGAAAAAAGAGGGCCUGUCCGAGAGGAAAUAAAGAAUAUUCAUUUGCGGAUUCUUCCGAACAAGCAACGGAUUGAGCAACUAGCGCGAAAGCCGUUGCGCGUUAGCGCAUCCGUUUUCUUGCUCGGGAACGAGGGGACUAAAAAAUUGUCAAAAGCCAUCUUUCUCUUUAACUAACUAAGUAUUCUUAAAAAUAUGUAUGUCUAUGAGGUAUUUUGACUUAAUGGGAAGUAGGCAUCUCAUUCAUAGGCAAGAGCAGGCCGACCUGAAGGCAUGAACUGAAGGCAGGCAAGAAGGCAUUAAAUGGCUUUUAAGGAUUCGGUGUAAAGAUGCGGAGUACAGUAUCUUUCUUUCUAUAAAAAUAUAUGGAAUCCGCGAUCCUAUCCUAUUUUUGAAGUCAUUUUUGCAUUCGAAAUUAUUUUCUUUCGCAAGAGCACUCAAACAUAGAUUGAAGAUCUUCAGUUCUUCGGUCGGCAGCCGCAGUCAGUAAUAGCAAGCAGCGUCCCAUACUACUUUUCCUUUGAAUGUUCAUUCUGGAAUUGAAUGUCACAAACAAGACUCAUACUUCAGAAAAAAACUGCUUGAAUCAGGAGCUGUAAUCCGCAGCUUUAGAGAUAGGGGCGGCAGUCACAGCAUUGGCAGCAGUGAGCAGAGGUCAAGAAGAAGAAGCGGUAAGAGCAGUUAGAGAGCAAGCAGCGGCUCAUCAAACCUUUCUGUUUCGGUUACAGCUCAAGCGGUUUGUUUUCAAGUAAGGUACUCAAGAAAGCUUUCCUCCUGAAGACAGAGUUUCGGGUGAGCUAGCAAAGAAAGUAAGCAGUUAACCGGAAAUUUAGGUCAAAUUAGCAUUUCGUAAGUUUUAGUAAGGCCAGUUAUGGGAAGCAGGCCAUGGAGAAAGAGAGGAAUCAAUCGUCCAACGCUAUGUUAACAAAUACGUGAAAGGUUUGAUUAUUCCAUACACUUGAACGCGUUCCUUAUCAAUAGGUUUCGGAGAGACCAGCAAUGAUUGCUUGACGAUCUUCACUUCAUGAGACUAGACUUAACUCAAGCUUCAUACGAAAGCAUUUACUAAACUAAAGCCGUUGAGCCAAGUCAAGCGAAAGACUUAUUCGAAGAAAGCUUUAAGAGAGUUUGUUGUCCCAUGCCUUUCUGAUGGUGAACCUCCUACUGCUUCUUCCAAUUCUGAAACUGGGAUUGGCCUGUUGACUCUGCCCUUCCUUUAGACAAAGAGCCCCCAGUUUCGCCAAAAGACCUCUGCGUGUUGUCAUUCAACUCCACACAAGCCUGUCGUUGGGCUACUUGCGUCUUUGGUAGAUACAAAGGAGAAGUGACGGUCGGUGAAAUAGCCCUCCAACUCGUAGCUCUUCUUGCUUAACGUGAAAACUCUCCUUUCCGAUGAAAACGAGAAAGAAAGAUGUCAACUACUAAAUGUGCUACUUUGUGAAUUUGAUACUAGGUAGUUCUCCCCCCUCGGCAGGCAAGUAGCCUUUGCGACUUACAUCUCUUCUACAGGAGGGUAUGAACCCCCGGAUCUAGGCAAGGUGAUGGCGGGGAACUCCAACAGGUUUUGGUUUCCUCCUCACUGAUUGAUGGAGCCCAAGACUGCUUGACGACUUUUGGUGUGGGGUCAGCUUGAGCCGAGGUCGUCUCGUAACAGGAACAGGAAGAAUAGAAAACAAGCACACAAGCAGGAAUAGGAAUAUUGGCUGUCACUAUCCUCUGGUUAGCAAUCAACUACGGAGCUGGCAACUCACAAGCCAGCAAGUCAACCUCUGUCAGAUCUUCGGCCCAGUUUAUGGACGAAACUGACUCUACUUCCUCAUUCAGGCUGAUAUGAACUGCAAAAGUUUGCAUCUUUAGCGUGGAUAUCGUAGGUAUAAAUGAAAUAAACUGGAAUCAGGAAGUUGUUUCUUUCUCUCGAUACGCAGAGGGGAGAGCAUGCCCUGUCUCAGGCAGUAUAUCAAUCGUUAACGAUCUUACCGGGACACAUCCAAUUGAAACUAGAAUCCCAACCUCUUUGGAAGAAGCUCCAAAUAGAAAAACUUUCAGAGCGGGGAAUCUUCCUACAAACUAAAAUGUGUUAAAUAUAUAUAUACCUACAUCUGCCUAGAAAAACUGGAGUUUCAGGCACCCUCGUGGGAGACAUUGGAUGUUGUCAACCGGCCUUAAAAUGCUCAUAAACAGCUCUUCCCCCAUUGACUUAGUUUUCGCUCUCCUCUGUUUCUAGUAGAAAAAGCCUGAUCCUACUUUGCGAGUCCAACAGGUCUAGUAUUCUUUUCUUUUUCGUCUGAGGGAACGUGGUAGCCUUGAUCUAGCUAAGACUUGAGAUUCCAUUCUAUUUCAUUCUGAUCUCGUUAUGAGGAAAUAGGUGAGGCGAGGCUAAGACAAGAUAUGGGACUUCCCGCGCUAAGUUGUUCCAAUCUCUGUACUUCAGUAACCGAACUCGAAAGUGCUGCUAUGAGCUAGAUUUGUGCGUACAUGGGUAAAGAAGCGAGCAAGGCUACCUUUCCGCUGGAAAUCCUAUACCUGAGUGCUAUUUGAUCAGAGUGAGUUGUAAUUGAGCUUGAUUUACUUGCUCUUCUAUUUGCAUUUUUUGUUAAGUAUGUGGGUGACUCAUUGUCGUGAGAUCGGUUGGUCGAAAAUGCUUUUCAAGUAGUCUCAGUCGGCGAACUCGGCUCCACAGAAGAAGUCAGUAGUGAAUCAAAGAACUCAUGCAUGUAAUCAGUGACUAGGGAUCGAUCAAUCGGAUGCAACCGAGCCAUACAAAAAGAAUUGUAAAAGGGAUGACGCAAGAGCAGCGGAAGGUGACUUAGCAUCAUCAGUCAUUUCCUAUAGAAAGGAAGGAAAGGAUCUCUCUUCUGUCUAGACGAAAGAUCUCAUUUUUGCUACUGCUCUCCCUCUUAUGAGUCUCUGUCAGCCGUUGUUUAGUAGCUUUCAACGCGAGUUCAGUCAUUCUCUUAGAUACUGAAAAGUACGAACUGACUUAAAGCACAAACAUGAAGGAAAGGCUGAAUUCGAAACAUCUUGAAUCGGAUUCUCUCUUCUCAGAGAGCUUGAGAGUGAAAUGAGUGGGCCGGCCAAAGAAGACCACUAUGGAAGUGAAAGGGGAGGGCAAGAGCGGUUCGAAGACCAUAGCCCGAUGUGGGUACAUUGGCGUCAUCGUCGUAUGAAAUUCACGCACAAAGGGCGCCGCAUCACUCUCGAUGGCAUUCAAGAUAAUCCUUCCUGCCGUCCAAUCUCUGUCCGUAAGCUGCAAGGAUUGCUGAAAUGGGGUGCAGUUAGCCAGUGUGUGCAAGUGCGUCAGAUUCACCAGGAGCAUGAUCUGCAAGCAAUUACUCUAGAUGCUGAUCCUGCAGAGCAGACACCUCCAGCUGUUCAAGAACUGCUACAGGAGUUUGAUGCUUUGUUCCGGGAGCCAAAGGAAUUACCCCCUCGUCGUGCCUGUGACCACCAAAUUCCGUUGGUGCCAGGUGCAGUGCCAGUCAAUGUCCGGCCAUAUAGAUAUGCACCCCACCAGAAAACAGAGAUUGAGAAGCAAAUAUGUGAGAUGAUGAACAAUGGCAUUAUUCGUCGCAGCACGGGCCCCUUCGCUUCUCCAGUGCUCUUGGUACGUAAGAAGGAUGGAUCCUGGCGCUUUUGAAAUAUCCUAUGCCAGUCGCGGGUUGUCCCAAGCUCAACGUAGGUUCGCAAGAGAAAAAGAGGGGGGUACCUUGUCUGUCGGUCGAAGAAGGCAACAAACAAGUGGAAGCAACCGAUGCUUUUGUCAUUCUACUCCUUGAUGCCAGUCUGUGCUUGCUGUCAUGCUGGCAAAAGCGGGGGUUUCGGCCGGCUUUACCUACUAUUGGAUUUGAACCAAUGACUCUCGCCGUAUGAAAGCGAUACUCUCACCGCUGAGUCAAGUAGGUCAAGCUGAGUCAAGUCAGAGAAAAUCAAAAAAAAGAGAAAGCCAACCAAAGCGCAACCAGAGUUCUCCGCGGGGUGGAGCACUAAGAAAGAGAAAGCGUUAUCGCUAUACGAAAUGAAGCAGCGGCUAGCACACUAAGAUAAACCACUUGGUUUAAAAAACAGCUUAGUGGCGUGUGAUUUCAACACUAUUCCAGAGGUAUAUGACAAAAAUUGUGGGAGAGACCUCUAUGUUCCUAAGCUUAAAUCAUUCUAUGAUUGUUUACAAUUCUGUCAUCUAUUUUACAUGAGGGCUAGAGGGUGGUCUUGGAGCAAGAAAAGUAUUGAGUCCAGGCGCAUUAUGGUACGACUGAGACUGAGUUGGGCAGGAGCAAGCGGUUGGAUUGGCCUGACUCUUCAAGACCAAAGAUACUCGGCUUCCUCUUCAUCAAGUCACGAAAUUCGACCCUUAGUUAGCAGCACCAAAACUAGAGCAGGCCCAAGACAAGCAAGAACAGUCAGUCAGCACCGAUCAGGCAGGAAGCAGACAGUAAGCUAAGAAUACUGGAAGAAGGUGGUCGCUCAGCCAAAGCCCUAGUUCAACCAGAACAGUAGGGAAAGCGGUAGAGGCCGCUCCGUAGCUUUGGUGGUCGCACUCUAAUCCGCUUUAGAAGAAGCAGCUAUUCUAUUGCUUGGCUAUAAAGCCUAUAAGUAAGAACUCUGGGGAAGGAAUCCGAUCUGCAGAUGAAGCAGAAAAAGGCAAAAGGCGAGCGCACAGCGAGGAAUUUUCCAUACUAGAUCGACUCAACAUUACCGAAUCUACUCUGAGACUCUCUUCUCUUCAUGGUUGGUUGUAAAAAAAAGAGUCUCUUUAGUCCCCAACUCUAUGGAUUUUAAUUUUUGGCUCAACACCCUGCUCUCGACGUUUGCUCGGGACGGGAGGCUAUGAAAUAGUUGAAAGCAGAUGCAACAUUAAAGAAAGUCAAUCCAGUAGCCUUAAGUCGUACCGAACACUAUGUCCUAAUUGUAAGGGAUUUCUUUCAACCCGGUGGUAAGCCGGUGGUACCCGGAGAAAACGUUGCCCGAAGGAAGGGACUAAACCCAUCUGUUCAAGUAGUAGCCAAGUAGUACCGAAGGAGUAUCUCCGAGUUAAGGAGUACCGAAGGGAAGGAAGAAAAACCAAGUGAAACAAAUUGAUCGCAAUGGUCUAAGAUAUAGUCACUGAACAAUAACUCAGAUCUGAUGUCGGAUCGAAACAAAAAUGCAAAAAGACAACACAAACGUAAAAGAUCGAACUCUAAUUUAGUUACUGAGUGAGAUGUUUUGCUACCUACAAAAGGUUGGUUCUUCCCCUACAACCCCUAGCCCUCCAAGGCAGUACUCUUCAUCGGCAAAUCCGAAUGUCUCGAUCCGAGUUGAGACCCACCUACAGAAAUUGAUCCAUCAACGGCUUUUUCUAUAGUGGCAGGAAGUCUCCAACUCUUCGAUAUGCGCUAGCUAGGUAAUCCCUUUACUUAAUCUGAUAUGGGAUCUCUUGAUACCAGAAAGGAACUGAACUGGCUUGCCCGGAAAGAAUGGAUUGCGACCCUUGGAGAGCUAAUGGUACUGGACUGAUAGCGCACUGAUUGAACCGACCCCGGACGUACCACUGGGGAACCUGUGGCUGGAGAGAAUCUCUCGCGAUGGAGAAAUGUCAAAUGGGAAGCUCUAUGGAGGCACACAUCAUGUCGUUCGUCAUCGAAAUGGGACUGACUCGCUCGGGAACAAGCACAGGAUUGAGGAACUUUCUGGCGUAACACACCCGUAAUGGGGCAAUCUGACUAGCUGGUCAAAACCCUUUCCGCAGUGUUUAAGUGGUGCUGGAAGGAAUCAAGAGGGGAGGAGGAAAGCUGUACCAGGUGGAAGGAGAAGAGCUGAUUGCUACUAAAUCAGAACAAGCUUAGUUCUGCAUGAUGGCUCAAUGGUGCAUGGUCAACUCAGUAAACCUAACAUCUCUGAUCUCUGAUCCAAUUUCAACCCUACUGAACUCUUAAGAGUAGGUGUUUCAAGAACCUAAGUCCUUACAAAAAAAAGAAUCCAUGAUCACUAUAGACCCCCGAAGGUACUGAGCCCAAACAUCUGAAGCCAUACGGAUACUCACAUCUGCAAAAGGCUGAGAUUGAGAAUUGAGGAAUUGCUGAAGAAUUCACUGAUACAAUCCUCUACUAGCCCCUUUGCUUCACCUGUGCUGUUAGUGAAGAAGAAGGAUGGGACAUGGAGGAUGUGCAUUGAAACCAGGCAGCUGAAUGCUAGUACAGUAAAGAAGAAAUACCCAAUUCCGGCACAUAGAUGCCCUAUUGGAUGAGUGGUGCUAAAUAUUACAGCAAGAUUGACUUAAGAUCUGGCUAUCAUCAGAUCAGGAUGAGAGAGGAAGACAAGCCCAAAACUUCAUUCAGAACCCUGUAACUAUGAAUUCAAUGUGAUGCGGGCUUACAAAUGCUCCUGCAACGUUUCAAGCACUCAUGAAUGAUGUGUUCAAGCCCAGAAGAUUUGUGUUGGUUUUAUGAUAUACUUCUUGACAGUAAAACACUGAAGGAGCAUCAACAGCACUUGCAGCUAACACUUUUUCUGCGGAAUCAGCUACAUGCUAAGAUGAGCAAGUGUGAGUUUUGACUUUUAAAGGCAGAAUAUUAGGGGUAAAAUGGAAAAUAAGGUGGCAGAUGCAUUUAAUAGGAGAAAGGCCGGAACAUCUGUCCAGCUGGUCCAAGGUGUGCAAACCGCUUUGUGAAGGCCGACUGAGAAUGAGGGACCUAGUAGUGUAUUUCGAAGCCUUCUAGGCAAAGCUGCUUUGGCGUGCACUGAAAGGGCGUCUUCCUUUCCUAUAUUAUACCAGAGGUGAGUGCAUAAUCUGGUGUAGAACGGAGGGGAUAUCCUAAGUUGAUGUGCACAAGUGCUUCCUCUGAUUGAAGUCGAUUGCCUCAACCAAUUUCUUAGUACAUCAACACAAGAAGUGGCGAAUUGGGGAUGGUACUACCUCAGUGAAACUGUGGGAAGAUGGGUAGGUGGGGCCUCUCAACCAAGACAUCGCGGUUGGCGAGUGGGGACUCUACUGAAUUCUAGCAUGGGGGUGGUAGAUUACUGACGUGAAGCCGGACCUCUAUGAGUGCUCUACAUGGCCGGAUCAAAGCUAUUCUAAAAACUAGAUCCAUUGGAGUGGGAAGUACUCAAGAUGUAGAAGAGGACUCAAGCAGGUUUGGUCCUCUUUCUCUGAUGUGUUCUUAGAACCCACUACCCUCCCUCCUAAAAGACCAUGUGACCAUCGGAUUCACCUCACGAUAGUCAACCAGUGAAUCAAAGGCCUUAUAGGUAUUCACACCACCGGAUGAAAUUGAAGCCAUAAUCAAGGAGUUACUCUAGAAUGGUACUCUACAACCUAGUUCAUGCCUCACCGGCUCUUCUUUACAAGAAGAAAGAAGGUUCGUGGCGCCUAUGGAUUAUAGGCAACUCAAUGCGCAAACCGUAAAAAAGAAAUACCCGAUACCGGUCAUUGAUGAUCUUCUGGAUGAGCUACACGGUUAUACUGUGUACUCAACAAUCGUUUUAUCUAUUCCCACAUCGAUUCACCAAGCCUGGAACUCGUUAUGGAUAGAAGGUCCGUAGAAGUGAAAGUAGGACGACGGGAGAAAAGAGUAAGGAGUACCGGAAAAAGAAGAUUUUGGACUUUCUGCCCACGAAGAAAUAGUAGCAUUUGAAACUGGAAAGAUUUACUUUGGAUAGUAAAUCCCCAAGGAAGGGCUAUAAUCCAAACAAAGGAGGAGCUAGCGGACAGUUCGAAUUUCAAUGAUUAGGGAGGGGAAUGAAACACUUGUCUUUCACAAUCAAUUCUUUGUUUUUUUAUGUUUAGGACACACGAAGCGAGAGCGAAACUCGCUAUGAGGAGAAGACUCGGCAAGAGAGGUUUGAACAAGAGGAACUGCCGUCUAGUUGAGUUUGAUCAUUCUCUCUUUCUAUCUCUCUUUCUUUCAAGAGCUGAAUAAGGGCAUAUCCACAAAGGAGAGAGAAAUCGGACUUUCUUCUUUACCCCCCUCAUUAUUCAAGACGUGAAUAUAAAGUGUAUUGUACUCCCUUGGAUCUUUUCCGGGAUCUUUACUCGUCAUUGAUCAAGGAAGCUAGAAGGAAGAUGGGUGGUAGGGUGAAUGGACAUUCGUAUCCUCUCCGACUCGUCGGUUAGGAGAGUAGCGACCAAAAAGAAAUCAUUAUACAGGAUAACUGAUGUAGAGAUAAAAUGUAGGAAGGAGAAAGUUGGUUUCAAUGAGUCAUGUGAAUUGUAGAAGAAAUAGGUAAACAAGGCGGGUUAAUAUAUAUACGUUGAAAAGCAAGGGGAUAAAUUGAACGAAAUGAAGAGCAAUCCAGAAUCCGAUUUUGUAUACUAUAAGAAAAAGGCACUGAAAACUUGGAAACGGAAGAUGUUGUAACUGAUAUGGGUAGUCACACAUUAGGCAAAAUGGUGUAGUGGUUGGGCCAGGUAGCUUCUUCUUUUGAACAGCAUUUCAUUAUGUUUUGGAUGCUUUCUACUAUGUUUCAAGUGAUCAAAGAAGAGUUUAUUUCCCACUACUCAUAUCACAUCUUAUGUGUUGAUGCAAGCUGACUAAAUCAAUAAGAUGGUAUUCGUAUUUGAUUAGACAAGAUGGUAUUCUUCUUUAUUCCGGAGCACAACAAUCCGGAUCUCUAUCUUAUAGCUUAUCCUUCCUAUUCUGUAUGUAUUACGGUCAUGUCAAGUCAAUGGUCUGUCUACCCUGCAACCGGUCUUGAAUGGCUUCAGUGAAUUGUUUGCUGAGCCUACAGAGUGACCUCCUAGGAGGACAAUAGACCACAAAAUACCCUUACUACCAGGCACUAAACCUGUCAAUCAUUAGAGAAGGGACAGAGUUCAAGAUAAGACUAUCUUGCCUGUUUGGUAGAGAGAGUACCGGGUAUUCCGAUGGUUAAAGAUUCAAGUCUUAGUGGCAAAGGGGGACAGCUUUGGCCUGCAACCGUUUCCACUUUACGGCCCACAGCUUGUGUUCUUCGGUAUUAAUUCGGUUUCUGUUUGUUUGGCUUGUCUCGUGCACCACCUGAAUUGAAUCAUAGUAAUGGGACUUUGGUAAUCCAGUGAUGAAGUCAAUGCUGAUAAUGGACCAUGCUUCAUCAGGAAUGGGUAGAGGAUCGAAGAGGCCAGGGAGUUUUUAAUGUUCUACCUUAGCUUGCUGACAGAUUUGACACUUGUUGACAAAAGAUUCCACUGAUUGAAAGAUUCCUGUCCAAGCAAAUAGUGCCUUGACGCGGUGAUAAGUAGCAGUAAUGCCAGAGUGGGCACCAAUACCACUGGCAUGAAGUGCUUGCAAGAUGUUUUUUUUCAUUUAGAAGUUUGCACCAACCCAUACUCUUCCUCUAUAUCGAAUGACCCCAUUAUGCAAUGAAUAUUUGCUAUUCUUGUGAGUGCUCAGGACUGCCAAUUCAGAUAGUCAAUUCUGGGUGAAUGUGUCUUUGUUGUAACCUGCAACAAUAUCAGUGAGCCAUUGUGGUUGACAGGAAGUAAUGGCAUUGAGUUCAUCUGGCUCAUGUAAUCUAGAUAGUGGUGCAUCAGCUGCCCUAUUCUCUGAGCCUUUUAUUGGAUGGUAUAUUGUAAUCCCAUGAGCUUGAGGAAAGGAAAGCUUUGUGCUGCAUUGGUGUUUUAAGUCUUUGAGCAGUCAAAUGAGCUAAGCUCCUGUGAAUGAAACGCCUGUCCUGCUAAGCCCAAACUCUAAUGUGCUUGACUUGGAAGUAGGCCACUCUUUCACUGUGAGGAUCUUCUUUUAGUCUGUAGCCACCCCUUGCCCACUAAUGACAUGACCCAGGUACUCUAUCUGUGGUUGAGCAAAUGAACAUUUAUUCAACUUCACAUAUAGUUGAUUCUGCUUCAGAAGGUCAAAUACUUGCUGCAAAUGGGUGACAUGAUCUUGCAAGGAUUUGCUGUAGAUUAAGAUGUCAUCAACAAAAACAAGUACACAAACCCUAGUCAGCUCAGCCAGAAUUGUGUUCAUAGCACUCUGGAGGGUGGGUGGUGCAUUUGUGAGCCCAAAUAGCCUAAAAUUCAUAGUGACGUGGGUCUUGAAUGCCGUUUUGUAUUCGUCUGCUUCAUGUAAUCUUAUCUGAUGGUAACCAGCUCUCAGAUCCAGCUUAGUAAACCAAACAGCACAAGAUAACUCAUCCAACAAUUCUUCAACUACAGGCAUUGGGUAUUUUAUUAGACGAAUCCAUCUUAUUUCCUUAUUUCUCUGUUUUGGUAGCAGGAGAAGUAGUUUGUUCAGCCCGGACUUCAAAGUAGUCUCCCCCGUUGACCUUCUUUUUUAGAUAGAAUCCUCAAUGAGUGGAAAGGACUCCCAAACUUGCUCCACAGUACUAUACCAUACAGAGCCGCGCCCUUGUGAUAUGAUAAGAAGAAAAGGGGCCAGGCCGCCCUCUUUUCUUUUCCGCACCAAGCCUUCUUGUAAAAUAGGGUGUAUAGCUCAGUUGGUAGAGCAUUGGGCUUUUAACCUAAUGGUCGCAGGUUCAAGUCCUGCUAUACCCAAAACAAAAAAAACACUCUUGUAUUCGUAAGGAUGCAUAGUAGCCUUCAAAGAGCACUCUUUGGCCUUGAGAAAAGCCCCUUUCUCAUCAACAUCUCGACUUCGCUCGUUGUUUGAGGUCAGUAUAAAGGAGAUCAGACUGGCUCGGUCAUUGAUAGGCCGGCCUUCUCCUUAUUCAUUGGAUAGGGCGCGGGGGAAAGUCAAGUCAAGCACUAGUUAGUUGGGGUGGGACGCACCAAAGCAGCGUUCGUUGCACUAGCGCCUUAUCUUUUGAAGCUAAACAGAGGCUCGAAAGACGGAGUACGUCCGAAGUCGUUGGCUGCCUUUUUGUAGUGCGCAAGUCAGAGUGAACUUCUUCUUCUGUUCUGCGAAUCUACUAACGAGAACUGCCGUACAGUCCUAUCUUUUUUUAAGAAAGAUCGUAGAUGAACGUUUCGUUUCGUUACCUAAGUAGUUGAGCAAUUCAUUCCAAGGUAAACAAACAGGUAUUUCCUUUUCUCGUUCAGUCCUUCUCUCCUUCCAUCCCAGUAGGCCUAUUCAUGCUUUUUUGCUAUCCAUCUUGAUCAAAUAGAAGAAGGGGAAAUUCAGACUAGGCAAAACACCUCAAAAAGUGAAAAAAAGAUAAAACAACUUUCUUUCAAGUAGUAAACCAUAGUUCUCAUCCUAGGAAACCAUAUCGAUCAUCGGUUCAGAGCUCCCAACUACGAAGCUCUUUUCUAGAGCGAGUCAACAAUUCGUGGAUCCAUGGUUUGGAUGAAGCUAUGUACCCGGGUAGAGAUGAUUUGUCUCAAAGAUGUUCCGCUCAUCCAAGAAUCUGAAACUUCAUCUACAUAAACUCAUAAAUAGCCCUUUCCUUUCUUUUCUUGACUUCAAAAGGUAAUCAAUCCUUUCUUUUCAUCUUUUAUCAAGUCUUCCUCUUCCUGAUUGAGUCAAUCAGGGAUAGAAAUUCGGAUCAACUAUGAGGAGUAGGGCUGC